UUUGCGCUGCCCCGGCUCUGCGGGCUCCGGGGGCCGAGCAUCCCCCGCUCCCCAGGCCGGGACCGCUCACCCCGCCCGCCUGCCCACCCUCCGGGCCUUUCCCUGGACAGGAUGAUAUUUCCCCAGGACUGGAACAUCUGUCUGCAGUUGUCUUCCAGCACCAGCACGUGAAUUUGCAUCCAAGUAAACCAAGGCUUAAACCAACACGUGAACUUUGCAGUCAAAGAUUUUGAUGGCGUGGGAUGGAAAAACUGAAAAGGAAGGGUUUUAUUAAAUGCCUUGAGAUGUCAAUUCACAACUA